AGCCUGGCCUGGCACACCCUGGAUGAUUUAUAAUAGUGCUUCUCGAACUUGAAUCACCUGGAGGCUGAUUAAAAAUGUGGACUCUGGUUCAGUGUGUCUGAAGUGCUCCUGAGUGCCUGCAUUUCCACCAAUUCCCAGCAGCUCCGUGUGGUAGGAAAUGGAGGUGAAGAGAGGCCAGAGAGACCGCAGAAGUUUAUGCAGCUGGCAGGUGGCAGAGUUGGGAGCAAAAUCAAGAUCUGGCUGAUUUCAGAAUACACUUGUAUUGUGAUCACACACACAGGACCCAGGCUGUGAGGAGGCCAUGUGAGAACGCCAGGAGGCCAGGAUCUUUUCCACCAGUUUCCUUUUCAAGGUCUGUGUGAAGCGAUUGAAGAGGUGACUCAACUGUGAAUCCAGCAAGCAGAACCAAUAAGCAUGGUCAGGCCGACCCACCAGGAGUCAAAACAUCGUCUCAUCAACAUCUUCUCAUUGCCUGAUGACUAAUUACAAUAGCUGAGGUCUGUGGAUUCCCAGGCCUGCACGUGGCUGCAUUCCUCAUGCUAGCCCCGUCCCCUUUAUAAUCCUGUCCCCUACACCUUGCAGGAAGGCAGGAUUUGAUGCGUGUAAGCGCCAUGUCUUCUGGGUUGGCUAGCCUUCUCAAUAAAUGCCUAAUAUGAUUCAA